UACGUAGGGGGCAAGCGUUGUCCGGAUUUAUUGGGCGUAAAGAGCUCGUAGGUGGUUCGGUAAGUCAGAUGUGAAAUCUCCAGGCUCAACCUGGAGGGGUCAUUCGAUACUGCCGUGACUAGAGGUCGGUAGGGGAGUGUGGAAUUCCUGGUGGAGCGGUGAAAUGCGCAGAUAUCAGGAGGAACACCCGUAGCGAAGGCGGCACUCUGGGCCGAUACUGACACUGAGGAGCGAAAGCGUGGGGAGCGAACAGG
rnacentral:rRNA from 1 species